GACGAACGCUGGCGGCGUGCCUAAUACAUGCAAGUUGAGCGCUGAAGGUUGGUACUUGUCCCGACUGGAUGAGCAGCGAACGGGUGAGUAACGCGUGGGGAAUCUGCCUUUGAGCGGGGGACAACAUUUGGAAACGAAUGCUAAUACCGCAUAAAAACUUUAAACACAAGUUUUAAGUUUGAAAGAUGCAAUUGCAUCACUCAAAGAUGAUCCCGCGUUGUAUUAGCUAGUUGGUGAGGUAAAGGCUCACCAAGGCGAUGAUACAUAGCCGACCUGAGAGGGUGAUCGGCCACAUUGGGACUGAGACACGGCCCAAACUCCUACGGGAGGCAGCAGUAGGGAAUCUUCGGCAAUGGACGAAAGUCUGACCGAGCAACGCCGCGUGAGUGAAGAAGGGUGUCGGAUCGUAAAACUCUGUUGGUAGAGAAGAACGUUGGUGAGAGUGGAAAGCUCAUCAAGUGACGGUAACUACCCAGAAAGGGACGGCUAACUACGUG
rnacentral:rRNA from 1 species